rnacentral:rRNA from 1 species
UACGGAGGAUGCGAGCGUUAUCCGGAUUUAUUGGGUUUAAAGGGUGCGUAGGCGGAUUAAUAAGUCAGUGGUGAAAACCUGCAGCUUAACUGUGGAACUGCCGUUGAUACUGUUAGUCUUGAGUAUGGUCAAGGUAGGCGGAAUGUGUAAUGUAGCGGUGAAAUGCUUAGAUAUUACACAGAACACCGAUUGCGAAGGCAGCUUACUGGGCCGUUACUGACGCUGAUGCACGAAAGCGUGGGGAUCGAACAGGAUUAGAAACCCCAGUAGUCC